UCGUUUGCAGAUGCAGCUUCAUCAAGAUUCACAUGCCGGCCUCUACGUUCGUCAGAGGUACCGUGUUUCUCGGACAGCUAUAGUAGGUUCUGGUAUUGGGAAUCUUGAUGAUGCUGCAUCGGCAAGAGA
rnacentral:pre_miRNA from 1 species